UUUGUACUAAAAAUUGACAAAACCUGACAAAACCUGCGGUGAUUGUGACGGUGUCUGUAUUUAACACCUUUGAAAGGAAGGUGUUAAUGCAGGAGACCAGUGUUACACACAACAUGCUGCUGUUAUUGUAGUUAGGAGGAGACAUAGGUACAAUAAAAGAAGACAUAAAGAUCGUGUUUUUCCCCACACAUGUUAAUAUGUUUUAAAUGUCAUGCAUUUAUUUUUUAUUUCGCUUCAAUAAUCGUUAACGAAGAGAAACACCAUGAUUAAACUACAGGCUAUUGUUGCCUUUUUAUAGCCAAAGAAAACUGAACAUCCACAGCCUCUGCAUUCAAAAGAAUUUCAACAUUGACAUUUAUAUCGUCCUAUUUCCCUCUUUUCACCAACAUUAUAUUUUAAACUGGGAUUUCCUUUUUCUCUGGUCUCUCGUCUCUCCCCCAGCUCGCCCCCUCCGGUGCGUUCCUCUCCAUAAUGCGCUCGUCUCCUCCCUCUACAGCCCGCUGCUGCUACUCUGUAGGACGCUUUGAUUGGGGUACCUCACCAAUAAAAUACUAUUUUAUAUUUUAUAAGCAGUUUGCCACCACACUGCACUGUUACUCUCCAAAGGCAUAUGAGUAUGUGCGUGACAACUUUAAUAAAGCUUUACCACACAGUCACACCAUCCACACAGCUGAUCCAGGGUUUACUGUAGCAUCUUUUACAGCACUAAGAGGUCAUGUACAGGCAAACAGAGAGAAGGGAAAAGAAACAAUCUGUGCUCUCAAAUAACAAAGCAGUCUCAAAUCUUUUUGAGGAUUGUAGGAUCUACUUUGCAUACAGUACAUCCUCUGAUAAAUAAAGUGAAGUACUUUGAUUGCAUUUCUGUGGUGUUCCUGUAGGUGACCGUGAUGCAGCCAGACUGAAGCAGCACGUUGUGAAGGUGGACGCCAUCAUCUUGUCUUUGCAGUGCUGAUUCUGAAGAGAACGCCUUCACAUAGGACUCAAAGAAGAUGCCCUCAGAUUCAGAUCCAUCAACAACCCCUGACAACAUGGAGGACUCGUCCCCUGAGCGUUUCCUGUCCUCUCUCGAUGGAGUUCUUCUCUUCAGUUAACUCUUGAAAACAGUAGCACAACAUGCCAGACUGUUUGACAAGUCUGUGAUUGAAUAAAUGGAAAUGGAAUCUCAUGUUUAUCUUGUUAUGCUUAUUGGCUUUAAAUGUUUAAUAUUAAAUAAGUUUGAAGGCCAUUUAUCUCAGACGAGACCGGCUGUGACAAGCUGAGCUCGUCUGUUAGCUUUGCUGUUGUCUUAGCUGUUGUUGGUCAAGAAGAACUUAAUGUCAGUUCAAGCCUUUUCAAAUGUGAGCUAUAAACUUAACUGCUAAAUUAUUUUACUGUGACCAACACGUUGUAGUGCUCCAGUUAAUCAGAGACAGUCAAUUCAGAUUUUUAAAAAGUUUAUUUAAACAUUUUAUGAAAAAAAAAACUUCAAUAAACAACCCCUGGCUUCAUUAACCAUGUGGAAAAUAAGUAAGGGAGACCAUCAGGUCGAACUGCUGGGACAUAGGAGAAAGUAUAAAACAUAAU